CUCCGCCCUCCUUCAGGUGAGGCUAAUCUGGGUCCUGAUCAGCAGAACCUGCUGAGCUUUUCCAAACUGAACUCUGAAGUUUGAUGUUUCUCAGAGCGGUUCUUCUGCAGACGUUCAGGAGAAUCUUGUGAUGGUUGAAACUGACUAAAACCAGCACACACUACCAAAAGACGCCACCAGAGAGCGGCAGAGAGAACAGCCUUCAAGGAAGCAGAAUUACCAUGGAGGCGAUGACGGAGGCGGGGAAGAAUCCCAUGGUCAGAUAAAAGGCCAGCUCCACCAGUUUGUACCUGCAGACAGACAUGCUCAGCGAAGCUCUUCCAGAUGAACCCAAACUCUGCCGCCACUCACUUCUCAUGAUAGUUGAAGACGUAGAUGGUUCCGGCGGCGGCCAUGAGCCACACAAACCAGCGCAUGUGGGCCGCCAGCGGGCCCAGCUCCCGCAGGUUCAACCUGAGCGAGGACAGAAGGUCACGACCGGGAAACGUUCAGACCUAACGCCGUCCUCCGACACUCACCAGGGGCUGUAGGAGGCGGCGAUGAAGAAGUAGAUGACGACCCGGUCGCACAUGUGGAAGCACUGCUCAACGGACCUGCGGCACAAACAGACCGUCAGCUGCUGCAGGAGGAGGAGGGCUCUGCAGGGGGCGCUGUCCUCCUGACCUCAUGUGACUCUUCUUCCAGGUGAUGAUGUGGAACACGGUGGACACCAGGAAGAGGGCGCACAGGCCCAGGCCGUACACCCACGCCGUGAUGCGCUCCCAGCUGUUGUCGGACAGGCGGUGCAGCAGCGUCAUGCCCACGAAGGCCGGCACGACGAGGAGCUGCGGGCAGAAGGAGGCGCAUUUCAGACGGUUCUGACAACCGGAUCUCCAGCUACGACUGAUCAAACACGACAGCAGAAAGCUAAAAAUCAGCUGUGGGCUGUUGCCAUGACACCAGGAGAAGAAUCCAGAACCAAGUUAAAUCCUGCAGGAUUCAGGGGGAGGAGCCUGAACAGAGACAUCUAGAUCCAGUAGAACCAGAACCAAACGGUAAAAUACUUCCAAACAUGAACACAACGUCGGUACACAAAAAUCAUGACUCAGCUCUGGUGUUGACGUGUCUUCACAUGUUUGUGUGGCGUCUCCGCCCAACCUUCGCCUUCUGAAGGUCGCAGUUCUGCUACCAGACCUGUUCUCCACUGACAUGUUACAAGGUGGAAACACCUGAACCCUCGUCACCUGGAUCAGGAUCUUUGAUUGUUGGAGCUCAAAUAUACACAGAUUGGUGGAUUUUAGUCCCGCCCAGUCACCAUUAUCAUUGGAUCGUUGUUGAAGUGGGCGGAGUGAACUCCAGUCAAUCUGUCCGUCCCACUUUUUGUCAUCAGGUGACCUCAGAUUACCUGCAUUUGCUGCUUCAGAGGUGAAGGAGACAGUUUCUAGUUUAGAAAUAAAGUAAUUAUUGACGGUAUAUGAGAACUGGACUCGUAUACCGUCAAUAAUUAUGAAGUAAACUCAGGUUCUAAUUUUCCACAAUAUGGAAACCAGAAGUCGUUAGUAAGCAGUGAUUGGUCCAGGUUUCCACUCUCACCAAUCAGGAGUGAGCUUGUUGGAAGGCCACACCCCUAUCACGUAAUCUGUUCUGAAUGUUGGACAUGGGGUGGCCAGCAGGCUCCGCCUACUUUUAUUGAGGAAAAUUAAAGGGUUGUGAUCCGAGCACCGCAGUUUCAGCCCUGUACAGUAGGUGGCAGUAUAGCUUCUGUUUAUUGGAUUACCAUCCAGUAAUAAUCAAAACGAGAGCUGUCUGAAUUUCCCUGGAUUAUAAAGGUUAUUCAGACACCAUACUCACUACUUUUCUUUUAAC